GUGGAUUUCAUUAUAAUCCAAAUUGUAAUAAUUGCCUUUUUAAACUAAGAGAAGCACAGAGUGAUGAGAUGAGACAGAGAGGGCAAAACAGAAGUAAACAUUUAUUUCCUCAUGGUGUCCUUGUGGGCAAGUCCUUCCUUUCUUUCAGUCUCGCUCUCAGUUCAUCCACUGAUGCAGUGGGUUCCCAUACAGUGUGCCCAGGCUCCUGUCGUCCUUGAGAAGUUUCUCCUGUCACCUGAAGGCCCAGCUGUGCCUGUCUUGGCAAUCCCAGCCUGAACACCAGGCUCGCUACCCCUCACCUCUCCUGCUUGCUCUGCCCUGGAUGCUGAGCUCCUCUCACAGAAUCAGAGCACUUUGGAGAAGGCGCAGAUCCUUUACAAAGACAGCUUGUUUUAUGUGAUAGGAAUCAAAUUUACAUAUGCCUUUGUUCUUUGUAAACGCUGGGCUGUUGUUUCGAUGGGAAUAACUUUUCUAACCAAACAGCUGGUAAACUCAUGCGUCACUUUCUGUCCAUCUAAAAUUCUUGCAAAGCUUGUCAAUGUCCAUUUAUGUACAGCUGGCACCUCCAUUUACUGUGUGUGUUCUGUAAGAUCUGUGCCAGGCUGAAAUAAAGGUGGGGAAAAAGUUGGUGCUGUGGUGUUAGGGUGUGCAUGAAUGGAUAUGAGAUGCUGAAAUCUUCUUACAUCUCUUGACUAACACAUAACGUGUUUUUCCCUUAGACUUGUGUGCACUCAUUUCACAUAUUUGAGUGAAAAGCAGAAAAAAAAUCCCCAACAACUGUUUUCAAAAUACUUUCAGCGUUGGCAGUUGUUGCUGAGCAAAAUUUAAAAUGUGAAAAUUAGCACUUCAGCAAAUGCGUGGCUGUGCUUAGCAGGUCUGGCUUUGUGACUAGGGCUGCUGGUUUAUCCAGUAAUGACAUCGUGCUGAGGGCAGUUCUGACUAAGAGGUCUUUACAAAUGCUAUGCGUUCCAAAGAUGUAAACCCUGGCAUACGAUGCGAAAGGCACUUAGACGGUCAAUUAUCCUUGUUAGGAUCUUGUCCAUUAUGGCUUGAGACUGAGUGAUACAGUGAUGUAAAAUAAACAGCUGAGAGAAGAAAAUUGAAAGGAGAUUGAAUACUAUGGUCCACCUUUCUUCAUUGCCAGUAUAUCUCACUUUUAAUUCUGAAUGUGCAAGUCUCCUCACUGUGUUCUUGAACUCCCAAUUGUAUAGGAUUUAUGUUUCAGCACGUCCUGGAACCAUCUAUUUUUGUUUUGUGGCUGCUUUACAUUUUAGUAAACCUCUUCCCUUUCAUUAUAGAAGACCGACAUAAAAAUAAUACUUUCAAUAUGCUGUUUUUAUUUAUCUACAUUCUGUCAUGAUAUACUUUGAUGUAAGUUUUUAAUUUUGCUUCAGCUUUCAGCUGUUGUAGCAGUUACUGCUCAGGGUCAGCGAUGAGGUUAGCCACAGUAGCACAAAACAAUUUCCUGUUCUCACAGCCCAGGUAGCAUUUGGAUGUGGAUUAAAUUUUACCACAUUUUCCAGUAGCCAGACACAAUUAUUUCUAAUGAGCUUUAAAUUGCUUCUAGAGCACAUAUUUCCAAACUUAGUGUGGUGAUCCAUUCAGUGCUAGCGACUUCAUAAGACAGCACUUCUUCUUCCGAGCUGUGGUUAAGCAGGUAUUUCUAAUCAGUGGAUUUGCUUACAAGUGGCUUGCUCACUGUUCUCAAUUGCUGUUCCUCUGUUGUCCUCUCUCCUGCAAUGCUGCUUCCAUAAUAUAUUGUUCUUCAUUACUGACUCGGAUUUCAUCAUCGUUUUCUUUUGGCAAAUUUAUCUUGGCAUUAUUCAUGCUGCUUGUGCCGUUUUGAGAGGUUUUAAUGCACGUUUUGUUGUUCUGGAGGCUUUAAAAAUUAGUUUUUGAAGUUCUGCUCUCAUCUUUACGAUUCAUGUUUUCCUUUUGUUUUCCAUAUAUGGCCACUUUGCUAUCCUGCCCUGGCAUUCUGAACACGUGGAAGGCAUACAUUCAAAACUCAUUUAUGGGGCAGUAAUGAAUAAUAUGAAAUAUGAAACUGGAAAAGACAAGGAACAUUAUUUUUCCCUCUAUAAAUAUGGUGAUCAGAUCCUCUCUCUUGGGACUUUGUCAGAAGAUCAGGUUUAUCCACUGAAACUCAGGGCAUUUCCAUCUGUUACUCUGCACUCAAAUCUGCCUGAUGUGGAAAUUAUAUCCGCUUUGGCUUCUUGGAGUCGUAUGGGGAUGAGCACUUUGACAGCGUACUUCGGGCCUUUGUCAGAACGCUGCUUUCAGCAUCCCACAGUGACUUGCUAAACUGUCAUUUUCUUGCUGGAGGAGACAAAUUCUGGGCAGCUAGAGAUGGUUAACAUCCAGAUUUGUGCCUAUCACAAGAAGGAAAUCCUUACAACUGGAAAAGCUUCUCUCACAAUAUCAAAAGCUAAGUCAGUCUUAUUACCCACUUUUGGAAUGUCUGACCCAAGAUCAUGUGGAUUUCAUUACCAGCUUAGAGCCUCAUGUCCUUACCUCAGUGUCUGGAGGACUUACUGCUCGAGAUGAUGUCAAUCCUAACGAACACCAUCAGUUUGGAAGACUGCAGGAACCAACGGUCUGUGUCAGGACCACUGCUUGGACUUACAGCUCUAGAUGGGAAGGUGAGCAUUUAAGAGGUUCUUCCAGGUGCACUCUUUGAAAUCAUUAUUUCACUUCAGAACAAAGCUGCCUGUGGCUCUUUCAAAUCCCCUUCCUCUUUCCCUGGAACCUAACUCACUUAGCCCCAUGCUAAAGUAAAGCUCAGCUCAUGUACCAGGUAAUAUUUUACAGAUUUGUUCACAAAGGCUGAUGAGAGAAUCUUCUCAAACUUUACUCCAACUUUUACACCCAAUCUUAGAUAAUGCAAAUAUAGCAAACCUCUUUUUUUUUUUUAUCAUUAUUAUUAAUAGAUUUUAAAUCUUUGUUUUUCCAGAAUAAGGUAGAAAUGAUAGGCAAGCUCAUCUGGCUUUUAGAUGCAGCACUGAAACAAGAACACUGUGGAAAUCACGUCAGAAAAAAAUUGCUUCCUAGAAAAAUAGUUAACCAAUUCCUUUUUCUGAAAGGUUUCACAGGAACAAGCAGCUUUGAGGAUAUUAUCUGAGCUCUUACACUUAAGUACCAGCAUUGAUUGCAAUUUGGAUUGUGUUCAUCUGUGGCAAAUCAUAUAAACCAGGAAAUACUCUGCAAUUUGCCCUUUCAAUAAAAUCUGAAACUAUGAAUUUGGAUAUACCCAUCAUGUUUCCCUUGUGACUUAAUAGAGACAAUAUUGUCAGAAAUGGAAACCAUCUGAGUAAAUGAAUGCGAAUCGAUCUAAAUGUGUGCAUUUUUUUGUAUAGCCAGGCAUUGUUCCUGAAGAUACUGACCUGUUGUAUUUGCCACAGUUCAGAGCUGGCUCUAACUUUAUUCUGAAUUGCUUUAUAUCUUGGGCAGUCACAAGCCUCAGUGUAUUACUGCUUUGGAGAAUGAAUUGUCUAUACAAUAAGAGGGUGCUGGAAAAAAAUAAGACACUAAGAUUAGCAGCAACUGCAUACAUUAAAAUUCAAACUGAAAUCCCAGCUAUGGAAGGAAACUAAUAGAAGAAGAAAAUAUAUCAAGAAGAGAAGCGCUGUCUCAUCAUUCACCUGUGCUGAAGGAUCCAAUUUUAGCCAUAUCCAAUAGCACUGUCAUUCAUCUUCUUGGUGUGUUAUUGUGAUUUAAAUCCAGGCUCUAUAAGAGAGAGCAGUUCUUUUAAAAUGAUUGAGAGGGAAUAAGGGCAAAUUCAGUGUUUAGGAAAACUUUAUGACAUCACAAUAUUAUACUUUACAGAUGGAAGCAAUAUUUCCUACUUUGGAAGGAAAACUAAUCAUUUUCUAUCUGCUCUGAGUCACUGCAUCAUUAUAAAAGUGGGAAAUAAGUAGCUUUGUGCGUUCCCAAUCUUGUUCAAGACGACACUUUUGUUUAUAUAAUGCUUCUGAUUUAUAGCGUUUAAGUAUUAGCCUGACUACAUAUUAAUUAUGUGUUUUUUGAUGUUAGCUGCUUCCGUAUGAGAAGAAAUUAAAUAUUUCACUUGAAGAUAAAAUUGUGGAGCUGUAAAUCACAAGAAAUAAAUUUGUGACUGGCAGAAUAUUCUUUUUACUGAAAUUAGGCUGGUUCUAAUGAUUAUGUGUUUUGCUCAGCAGACACAGGUACGUACAAGCGCCGUGACUUAUCAGCAAGCCUUCCAUUUCUUUUGGAAGGAUGGAGAACAGGAAAUAUAAUUUACAGUAUUUGCAUUGCCCGUUUUGCAUGGAGCAUAUUAUUUUGUGUUCAGAAAAAAGUAGGUGAUGUACUUAGAUGUGGCUGUAAGAGUCAUCUUUCCUCGGCUCGUUUCGGUACACCGCCAGCUUAUUUAUUGGAAGCAGAUUGCUUUAUUUCAGGUGGGGUAUCAGUCUGUACAGUUCCUCUGGUAGCAAGCACACAUUAACCACAUUUUACUUUUAUUGUUUGUUCUCGUCUACUUUCGUUUUAAUGAUACUUCCCUUGCUGAUAGUUCGUCUCAAAGGGAAGGCGGCAGGUUUACCUGGGGACUCAGAAUAGCUAGGAUUCAUACUUGCUUGUCCUUAUAGGCUGAGUUAUGCCAAAAUGGGAGUUGUAUACAGAGCCCACCCUAAAACAAUGCUAAAUCUUUUGAGACAGCAUCAGCUUGCUGUCAAAUGAGAUGGUUUCCAGUGGCUCCUGACAUCGUUCCUCUCCCAAAGUGAGGCAGCAAGUUUAAUUUAAAUCCUGAUGGCAGCCAGAAUCCUGGCAUCUCCUUCUUGCUAUUCUUCAACAAAGAAGAUCACAAGCAUGUGUGUGCAUGGGCAGAAGUGAUGUUAUUGCAGAGAAGCCCUAGAAGCCCCUGGGCUCAGAGCAGCUCUGUAGUGCUGGAGCAGCCAUGCCAUGCGAGAGGAGGCUGUCGGCGGGGUUGUUGGACAGAGAUGUAAUUCCUUGCUGUUAGGGAGGGUAUUGGUAAGACUUUCUGUUGUGGGGUUGAUGAAGGAAGCUCUUGGAACACCUCUGUACCUCUAGUACCAGAGAGGAUCUCAGGAUUGCAGCCUUUUCUAGACUGAACUCUGCAUUUGUCACCUUGAGAGAAUGCUUUGGGGAACGUGUUUGUUGCAGACAGAUAUUUCGUCUUUUACGCCUACGUGUUUUUCAAGUUUGAGUUCACAUGUCAGCUAUUUGAUCAGCAGGUGCUGUAGCGACCAGCACGGAAGUGUGAUACAGGAUGUGUCUGUUUUGAAAGGAGCUGGACUGGGGGCUGGUUUUUCACUUCCUAUCGUGGAAUCAUAGAAUGGGUUGAAAGGGACCUUACAGCCCACGUAUCUCCAGCCUCUGCCAUGGGCUGAUUGCUGCCCACCAGAUCAGGCUGCCCAGGAGCCCAUCCAGCCCAAUCUUGGGCACCUCAAGGAUGGGGCACCCACAGGUCCUCUGGGAGACCUGUGCCAGUGCCUCAGCUCUGAGUAUUCCUAUCAUCCUACUGAGUUGUCAUGGGCUUAAAACUAGAAUGCCCUGAUUUUACUACGUUUUCUUUUCUCGUAUUUUUGCAUUAAUAUAAGAGAGCUGCAUUUUUGGUCAGAAGGAAGCUCAUGUUUGAAAUUUAACUGGUUUUAAACUGAGGUGUUAAACAAAUCCCUGGCAUGCAUUUUGGCUAUCUGUAUGAUACCCUGGUGUAUCUUUUUUUUUUUUUUUUUUUUUUUUUUUUUUUGCCUAGCAUUAACUUCAAAAGGCUGUUAACAUUUUGCAUACUAGAAACUCUUUUCAGCCUUCUUUUAAUGAGUUUUCUUGAUGUGCAACUGAAAUGUGGAGAUGAGGUUAGGCUUUCCUCCAUCAGGACGUGUGCCUUUGACCAAACUAGCUUAGCAGUUGUCAGUGUGGUCGCUUAAGCUUUUACCUCUUAAUUUCUGUUGUCAUUCUUGAACCAAAAGGCCACAUUCAUUUUAGAGUGGCUUCUAUAUGUCUGACUUGGUUACUGAUGGUAAAACUUGGACUGGUGGGACUUUCUGUAGCAGUGUCUGUGGACGGAACUGCUAUCCUGCCUCUCGAAUGAUGAGGUGUGGGGAAGGUACUGUAGAAUGGGGUGGAGACCACCAGCAAUAUCCUUCUUGAAUGCUGUGAACCUCUGCCAGAAUAGUUCAUUCACCUCUGAAUAGUUGUCUCUCUCAGUGUUCAUACUGUGGAUGUGCUUAUGCCCAAGGCCAGAAGACUUUGGUCUAUGUAGUCAGUACAGUAAACACUAAACAGGAUUAUACAACUUCUUUGGCUACAGGAAUAGGGUAGCUGAUGACUCUGGAGAUUGCAUCCCAUUCCUUAUUGCUAGGCUAGCCAAAAUUUGUCCAAAGGUGGUAAAAAGUUCUAUUUUAACUAGUCUGUAGAUUAACCAGGACAGAGUGGAUAUAGUAAUACAGAAAAUGUCAUAGAAUGCCUAGCUUCUAAAGAAGCAAGGAUGAGUCUGUCUCAUGUCAGCAGUACAGUGGAUGAGAUCCUGCAGUGAGAUGUGCAAACUUGCACCAUUCAAAAAAGACUUAAAGAGGAGUCGAGGAACAUUUAUAUCACCUCUCUCAGGUGGCUUCAUGUGUUGGAGCUCAGAAAGUGGCCCCUCACUAAAUUGUAGUCGUGAGAUAGGACUGAAGCUGUUGUGGCUCAGGACACCUAAAUCUGCUUGCAGUUUGCCCAGCUCCUCUCACAGAGAGCAGCCUGUGAAGCUUUGUUCAAGAAUGCUCCUGGUGCAGGUGAGUAACUGGCUUUAAACUUCCAAAUCACAUUCCUGAAGUUCUCUGUUUCUUUAUCACAGUACUUCAGUGAGCUGAGGGCAACUUUGAUAAACAGCCAGCCUGGCAGCACACAGCAAGUCCUUGAGCAGUGCUUCAGGAACCGCAUGAAGGGAGUUGAGCAGAAGGUUUCAGUGAAGAACAGAGGCUGGUUCACCCAGAACGUGUCAGUGUUCUGAAGGGACGUGGCUGAGGUGCUGCACAGUGAAGGGGCGGCCGAUGCGGGCAGCUUGGGAAUGAAGAGCUGACAAGGACUGGGGAAAGCAGAGCUGGCUAAUAAAUCUAUUCUGAAAGC